AUGAACGCUGGCGGCGUGCCUAAUCCAUGCAAGUCGCGCGAACAGACGAGGAGCUUGCUCCUCUGACGUUAGCGGCGGACGGGUGAGUAACACGUGGAUAACCUACCUAUAAGACUGGGAUAACUUCGGGAAACCGGAGCUAAUACCGGAUAAUAUAUUGAACCGCAUGGUUCAAUAGUGAAAGACGGUUUUGCUGUCACUUAUAGAUGGAUCCGCGCCGCAUUAGCUAGUUGGUAAGGUAACGGCUUACCAAGGCAACGAUGCGUAGCCGACCUGAGAGGGUGAUCGGCCACACUGGAACUGAGACACGGUCCAGACUCCUACGGGAGGCAGCAGUAGGGAAUCUUCCGCAAUGGGCGAAAGCCUGACGGAGCAACGCCGCGUGAGUGAUGAAGGUCUUCGGAUCGUAAAACUCUGUUAUUAGGGAAGAACAAAUGUGUAAGUAACUAUGCACGUCUUGACGGUACCUAAGCAGAAAGCCACGGCUAACUACGU
rnacentral:rRNA from 1 species